AUGCAAAUGAUUAAAGAACUCUUGCUCACCUCUUGGUGUAGGACCCCUCCUCCAUUCUGGCACGUGAUACCUUUCACCCUUGUAUGGUGACAAAUAUCCAGGCCUAUUUGGAUACCCGACAUCAACAACAUAAUAUUUGCCUAAGUAUAAGAAAGGGUAACAGAGAUUCAUAUACACAAAUUACAACCGCAUAUUUAUGAACAAAUUAAUGUAAUCUAUACAUACAUACAUACGUUGAGGGGGGUGUGGGAACUUGUCAUGAUCAUGUUCAAUUGCAUGAAAGAGCACACUUGUGUCAUGCAUAG
rnacentral:lncRNA from 1 species